CUUCCGGCCUCAGAAUUCCCUUUCACUUCCUCCCGUGCAGGAUUUUUUCUCUCUCGCUGAGCAUCGAUCUUUAUUCUCCAAAACCCAAACCGGAGACUCGAGCUUUCGAGUUUAAUCUGACCCGGAGACUCGAGGGACGAACCGGGCUGCAGCCAUGCGGGUGUUGGUCCUGUUCGCGGUGACGCUGCUGUCUCUGUGCCCGGCGGCGGUGAGCGGAGCCGACAAGAAGAAGCUGCAGAUCGGCAUCAAGAAGCGCGUCGACAACUGCCCCAUCAAGUCCCGCAAGGGGGACGUGCUCAACAUGCACUACACCGGGAAGCUGGAGGACGGCACCGAGUUCGACAGCAGCAUCCCCCGCGACAGACCCUUCACAUUCACGCUGGGCACCGGGCAGGUGAUCAAGGGCUGGGACCAGGGGCUGCUCGGCAUGUGCGAGGGCGAGAAGAGGAAGCUCGUCAUCCCCUCGGAGCUCGGCUACGGAGACCGGGGGGCACCGCCGAAGAUCCCCGGCGGAGCGACGCUCAUCUUCGAGGUGGAGCUGCUCAGCAUCGAGAGGAGAUCCGACCUGUGAUGAAGAGGAGGCAGAGGAGGGGAAGAUUCAACACGUACGUUACUAUAAAUGGUUCCAGGAGGUGCUGCAACACACAGUGGAGAUCAUCCGACCUCUGAUGAAGACGACGCUGCAAAUCUGGAAGAAGAGUCGACACCAUCGUCCUCUUUUCAAUGGCUGUAAUAAUAAUGCUCUGAGUUAUUGACAGGAAG